rnacentral:rRNA from 1 species
UACGUAGGGGGCAAGCGUUGUCCGGACUUACUGGGCGUAAAGCGCGCGCAGGUGGAUCAGUAUGUGCCGUGUGAAAGCGCCAUCCUUACGAUGGCGAGGUCGUGGUAGACAGCUGAUCUUGAGGCUCAGAGAGGUCGAUGGAAUUCCGGGUGGAGCGGUGAAAUGCGUAGAUAUCCGGAGGAACACCAGGGGCGAAGGCGGUCGACUGGCUGUUGCUGACGCUGAGGCGCGACAGCGUGGGGAGCAAACAGG